UACGAAGGGGGGCUAGCGUUGCUCGGAAUCACUGGGCGUAAAGGGUGCGUAGGCGGGUCUUUAAGUCAGGGGUGAAAUCCUGGAGCUCAACUCCAGAACUGCCUUUGAUACUGAAGAUCUUGAGUUCGGGAGAGGUGAGUGGAACUGCGAGUGUAGAGGUGAAAUUCGUAGAUAUUCGCAAGAACACCAGUGGCGAAGGCGGCUCACUGGCCCGAUACUGACGCUGAGGCACGAAAGCGUGGGGAGCAACAGG
rnacentral:rRNA from 1 species